rnacentral:rRNA from 1 species
UGGGGAAUCUUGGACAAUGGGGGCAACCCUGAUCCGGCGACGCCGCGUGGGUGGUAAGGCCUUCGGGGUGUAAAGCCCUUUCAGCGGGGAAGAUGAUGACAUUACCCGCAGAAGAAGCGCCGGCUAACUCCGUGCCAGCAGCCGCGGUAAGACGGAGGGCGCUAGCGUUGUUCGGAAUCACUGGGCGUAAAGGGCGCGUAGGCGGCUGUCUAAGUCGAGGGUGAAAGCCCGGGGCUCAACCCCGGAACGGCCUUCGAGACUGGGGGGCUCGAGACCGGAAGAGGAGGGUGGAAUACCCAGUGUAGAGGUGGAAUUCGUAGGUAUUGGGUGGAACACCAGGGGCGAAAGCGGCUCUCUGGUCCGGAUCUGACGCUGAGGCGCGAAAGCGUGGGGAGCAAACAGGAUUAGAUACCCCUGUAGUCC